GAUGAAGAACGUAGCGAAAUGCGAUAAGUAAUGCGAAUUGCAGAAUUUCCGUGAGUCAUCGAAUCUUUGAACGCACAUUGCGCCCACUGGUAUUCCGGUGGGCAUGCCUGUUCGAGCGUCAUUAUCCUCCCUCAAACCCCGGGUUUGGUGUUGGACCCAAGUUGUAUGAACAACUGGUCUCGAAGACAAUGACGGCGUCCGUGGGACCCUCGGUGCAACGAGCUUUUAGGAGCACGCAUCGAGUUGCAAGGACCUUCCGGGCCGGUCUCCUUUACCAUUUUACAAGGUUGACCUCGGAUCAGGUAGGAAUACCCGCUGAACUUAAGCAUAUCAAUAAGCGGAGGA
rnacentral:misc_RNA from 1 species